GUGUGUACCAGCUGCCUCUGGGAGCCGCAUACAGUCUGUUCGGGGUAUUUACCUGCAGUAUGUAUGGCAGUUGCAGCAGCUUGCUAAUUAGUACCCACCAAAGGUACAUGAUCCAUCUUUUUUCCUAUUGUUUCUGUGCAAAUAUCCAACUUUUGUUGAUGUCCUUAGAGACCUGGAUUAUUGCCUAAUGAUGGUGCAUUUGUCUGUGGCGAUUCCUGCUGUUGAAGGUGAACGCGUGCAAGUACAACCAAUUCAGAACUGCCACAGGCUAAAUUUCAAGGGCAAAAGAUCACCUGGCUAAUUCCACGUGCUCUUCAGCAAGUUUUAGCUGAUCACGUUGACUUCAAUGUGAUGCUCACAUUUUUGGAAUUCUAUGAGGUAAGCAUGUGGAUGCUCUUUAUCUCUUUACCGUUUAUACUUUACUCAGCACGUGUAUAAUCAUUUUUUCUGAAAUAAAAGCAACAUCACAUCCAUCUAGAGUAAAUUAUAGUCAGAUGGUAGCAUGCACCAGGCAGGUAUAGUAUUAUCCUGUAUGCGUUGGAACGAGGGUACCAUCCAUCUGUCCCUUAUACUCUGCCUGAUUGUGGUGGCUUCAAUAGCUUGAAGCACGCCUAUUAUAAUUAUUUUAACUGCCCAAUUUUAUCACCAAUUUUAUCAUAGCCAACUACUAAAAAUAAAUAAUUCUUUAUGUUGAUGAAGCCAUUCAAAAUAUUGGCGACACCUUUCAGUUAAAUAACCUUUCAACUGAAUAUAUCAAGACAACAUGAGUAUUUGAUAAGAGAUUUUUAUUGUGUUUCUUACAACAUUUUUCUAUGACUAUUUAAUGGUACCUAUUAUAUUGGGCAACCGUCACGUAGCUUGAGCACAGGCAUAUGACUUCACUUGUGGACUGGUUGCUACAAAUCAAAUACUUAGGUUUGUUAUGCCUUCCCUUUACAUAAGGUCCUAUUUCUGGUGAGCAUACACUAUGUACUUCUUUAUGUGCUGAUUGAUGUUUCUCCAUAUAUUAGAUGGUUGUGUUUUUUCCCCUUCUAGGAAUAGACAGUGCCUUUAGUUUAGCGGACUGGAAUAAGUAGUAGGUAGAUCGAAAGGUGUUGUGUGGUUUUUAAAAUGGUUUAGACUUCCGUAUUGGAAUAAAUGGAGAGGUAUCACAUGAGGGCUUUCUCCGCCCUCGUGCUCCCUGGCCUGCAUUCUAAAUUGCUUUGUUCCGGCCCACCCAAACUUUCUUGUGUAGCUCCCCUGCUACUUAGUGGGGGUUCAGAGAACAGAAGGAAAAUAUGCACAAAGAAAUCUAACCGUAACAAACAAGUUUAUUUAACAUUUGUAAUAGAUUAAGCUGUGUAUCCGUGUUUUCACUUCAGAUAGAAGAUAACAACUUAAGAAAUAACCCCAUCUACUAGAGAUUUGUAAAGUGGUAGAAGCUUAUGCACGUUGCUGCAGUUUGUUAGCUGGAAACCAUCUCCUCAAUGUAGUCCUGUUGUUACAGAAGAUAGAACAUAAUAGAUUUGAAAACUAUCCUAGGUAUUGUGUUUCUAAGUAGUACUAUCUUAUGCAGAUAGCUACAGUGUGUUGGUUGAACACUUCUGUUUCUACUUUACUAUGUGCUUACCAAAUUUAUUAAUUUUUAGUUUUGGAGUCCAAGAAGAGAAUACUUGAAAUCUUGUUUAGUCACAUGCAUACCCUUAUAGCAGGGUUAAUAGUCCUCACUUUUUUAGUCUGUGUAUGUUCUAUUUUCUCAUCUGUACAUUUGAUUGUAGUUUUUUUUUG